rnacentral:rRNA from 3 species
GGAUGCGAUCAUACCAGCACUAAAGCACCGGAUCCCAUCAGAACUUCGAAGUUAAGCGUGCUUGUGCGAGGGUAGUACUAGGAUGGGUGACCUCUUGGGAAGUCCUCGUGUUGCAUUCC